AGAAAUUUGGUCGGAAAUCUGAAAAGUGCAACGCAGCCCUAAAACUGAGUAAUAAAUGCUUCAAAACAUCCUUUGGACCAUAUGGGCAAGUGGAUAAAAUACUGAACAUUGGUCUUGAGUUAGCGCCUCACAAACGGGUGAAUGGCGCUGAAUAAGAAGGAAUGAGUCUUUUGAUUGUGAAAUCCAUUAUCAGCAUGAAAUCCUCGACGAGUUUAACAGACUGUCUUUUAAUCCGAUGUAUUAUUCUCCUAUGGUUUCGAACUUAUGAGACACAUAUAUUAUGUUCUACUUCUAAUGAACAUAGGCUCCAUUCUUAUAAAUGCCCAAAGUAAAUUAUCAUAACUGGAAUAUUCUAUCACAAUAUCUCAAAAUAAGUUAGAAAUAUUUGGAGGCUUAAAGCAGCAUCAUCAACUGACACUUCCACUUACCAAUAUGGAAGAUGCUAUAAAGAAGAACAUGGGAAAAAAAAUUAAAAUCUGUACAAAGAAUGGAGAAAAACAUGCAGAUGGCUACUAAGCUGAAAGGAAAUAGAUUAUGGCACUUAAUAUAUAUAUAUAAAUUUUUAUCAGAUUGCUUUAUAUUAUAUAAUAAAGAUUUUUUUUAUAACUAAAA